rnacentral:rRNA from 1 species
UACGAAGGUCCCAAGCGUUAUCCGGAUUUAUUGGGUUUAAAGGGUGCGUAGGCGGACUAUUAAGUCAGUGGUGAAAGCCCCAAGCUUAACUUGGGAACUGCCAUCGAUACUGAUGGUCUUGAGUACAUUUGAGGUGGGCGGAAUGUGUCAUGUAGCGGUGAAAUGCUUAGAUAUGACACAGAACACCGAUUGCGAAGGCAGCUCACUAAACUGUAACUGACGCUGAGGCACGAAAGCGUGGGGAGCAAACAGG